UACGGGGGGGCAAGCGUUGUUCGGAAUUACUGGGCGUAAAGGGCUCGUAGGCGGCCAACUAAGUCAGACGUGAAAUCCCUCGGCUUAACCGGGGAACUGCAUCUGAUACUGGAUGGCUUGAGUUUGGGAGAGGGAUGCGGAAUUCCAGGUGUAGCGGUGAAAUGCGUAGAUAUCUGGAGGAACACCGGUGGCGAAGGCGGCAUCCUGGACCAACACUGACGCUGAGGAGCGAAAGCGUGGGGAGCAAACAGG
rnacentral:rRNA from 1 species